rnacentral:rRNA from 1 species
ACGCACGCUGGCGGCGUGCUUAACCCAUGCAAGUCGAACGGAAAGGCCCCUUUGGGGGUACUCGAGUGGCGAACGGGUGAGUAACACGUGAGUAACCUGCCCUUGACUUCGGGAUAACUUCAGGAAACUGGGGCUAAUACCGGAUAGGAAUCCUUGCUGCAUGGUGGGGGUUGGAAAGCUUCGGCGGUUUUGGAUGGACUCGCGGCUUAUCAGCUUGUUGGUGGGGUAGUGGCUUACCAAGGCUUUGACGGGUAGCCGGCCUGAGAGGGCGACCGGCCACAUUGGGACUGAGAUACGGCCCAGACUCCUACGGGAGGCAGCAGUGGGGAAUAUUGCACAAUGGGCGGAAGCCUGAUGCAGCAACGCCGCGUGCGGGAUGACGGCCUUCGGGUUGUAAACCGCUUUCAGCAGGGGCGAAGCUUGUGGUGACGGUACCUGCAGAAGAAGCACCGGCUAACUACGU